rnacentral:lncRNA from 1 species
GAUGGGUUCUCUUAUGACUUGUGGGGUGUCGUUGUGAUCUAGUUUCAUGAAGAAGAAAAGUGAAUAUAUUCUUAUAAAUUAUUUUGAUCAUAUAUAUAUUUAGAUUAAAUCUAAAAUAAUUUAUAAUUCAUUAUAAUAAGAUAAAAUUCAGACAUAAAAUUAUUUUAAAUCUGAAUAGCAAGUUACAUAAGAUGUAAUCGGUAUUGAUCUAAAAAUUAUCAUGAUGUAUGAGAUAUUUGUAUGA